GACGAACGCUGGCGGCGUGCCUAACACAUGCAAGUCGAGGGGCAGCACGAGGUAGCAAUACUUUGGUGGCGACCGGCGCACGGGUGCGUAACGCGUAUGCAACCUACCUAUAAUUGGGGGAUAGCCUUCCGAAAGUAAGAUUAACACUGCAUAAGACAAUAUCUUCGCAUGGAGAAGUUGUUAAAUAUUUAUAGAUUAUAGAUGGGCAUGCGUCUGAUUAGAUAGUUGGUAAAGUAACGGCUUACCAAGUCUGCGAUCAGUAGGGGGUACUGAGAGGAACGUCCCCCAGACCUGAACUGAGAGACGGGCCGGACUCCUACGGGAGGCAGCAGUGUGGAAUAUUGGUCAAUGGGCGAGAGCCUGAACCAGCCAAGUCGCGUGAAGGAAGACGGCCCUACGGGUUGUAAACUUCUUUUAUAGGGGGAUAAAAAAGAGUACGUGUACUCUCUUGUAGGUACCCUACGAAUAAGGAUCGGCUAACUCCGUGCCAGCCGCCGCCGUAAGAC
rnacentral:rRNA from 1 species